AGCAGCCGCGGUAAUUCCAGCUCCAAUAGCGUAUAUUAAAGUUGUUGCAGUUAAAGCUCGUAGUUGAAUUUCGAGAUCAGUACGCUGGUCGUGCCUUCGGUAUGUACUGGUGUCACUGGUUUCUCCCUUCUGAAGAACCGUUAUGUCAUUAAGUUGGUGUGGCGGGGAAUCAGGACUGUUACUUUGAAAAUUAGAGUGUUUAAAGCAGGCUCGCGCUUGAAUACAUUAGCAUGGAAUAAUGAAUAGGACGUUUGACCCUAUUUUGUUGGUUUCUAGGAUCGACGUAAUGAUUAAUAGGGAUAGUUGGGGGCAUUAGUAUUCAAUUGUCAGAGGUGAAAUUCUUGGAUUUAUUGAAGACUAACUACUGCGAAAGCAUUUGCCAAGGAUGUUUUCAUUAAUCAAGAACGAAAGUUAGGGGAUCGAAGACGAUCAGAUACCGUCGUAGUCUUAACCACAAACUAUGCCGACUAGGGAUCGGAUGAUGUUAAUUUUUAAUGACUCA
rnacentral:rRNA from 1 species